UGGGGAAUCUUGCACAAUGGGCGCAAGCCUGAUGCAGCCAUGCCGCGUGUAUGAAGAAGGCCUUCGGGUUGUAAAGUACUUUCAGUCGGGAGGAAGGUGUCAAGGUUAAUAACCUUUGCUCAUUGACGUUACCCGCAGAAGAAGCACCGGCUAACUCCGUGCCAGCAGCCGCGGUAAUACGGAGGGUGCAAGCGUUAAUCGGAAUUACUGGGCGUAAAGCGCACGCAGGCGGUUUGUUAAGUCAGAUGUGAAAUCCCCGGGCUCAACCUGGGAACUGCAUCUGAUACUGGCAAGCUUGAGUCUCGUAGAGGGGGGUAGAAUUCCAGGUGUAGCGGUGAAAUGCGUAGAGAUCUGGAGGAAUACCGGUGGCGAAGGCGGCCCCCUGGACGAAGACUGACGCUCAGGUGCGAAAGCGUGGGGAGCAAACAGG
rnacentral:rRNA from 1 species